AUGGAACCAAAGUGGGCACCAUCAUUGGGUGACUUCUUGCUUCGGGCUGGCUACCCUGUAGAAAAUGCCCCCAGCCUUUGCUUUCAGACGUCCUCCUUUUCUGGUGAGGGGCCCCAAGGCUCUUGUAAACCAUCAGCCCCUCUUGCUCACACCCAACGGCCAAAGUCUGGGUGUGCGGGCGGUGUCAACCCCUGCCCAGGAUUCAGAGGCCCCUGUGCCAUUGCUCAGACUCCAACAACAGAGCAAGUGGUUUCUCCUUUCCCUGUGAUUUUGCUCCUCUGCGGAUCGGUUUAUUUUAUUUUCAUUUUGUGUCUCUCCCAUUCCUGCCAAAGGUCGGGGGGAGGUAUUUCACCUGGUGAAGACAUCUCCUUAGCGGCUGAUGAUGUCGCCUGUCACUCGAGUUUCAAGAAGGCUGUAACCUACAGGCAAUGCGAUGCUGUGCUUAAAGCAGGACCUUCCCGAGCCCUACAUGUUCUGACUUUUGUAGUCGCCACCACACAAAACAUCAGAUUUGGAACCAACAACUGUUUUUCUACCUGGGUGUCAUGCAUUUUUCUAGAUUCCCAAGAAGCUCUUACCUCUGGGAUUUCAUUGUACUGUCACCCUUGGGCCGAGGCUGCUGCUGCUCCUGUGGACUCUGGGAAAGGGCCUCCUCCACGAAUUCCCACUUGUUCCAUGGCCCACCCCUGACUCCCCAGCUCUCACAGUCUAGCUUAGACACCCUGACGAGGUGGAGGAUGUAAUUACACCUUGAAACACUCUGUGCACUGGUGACCCAGCUCCUUGCAUGUGUGACUCAAGCCCCAAGAGGUCAGUGAAAUCUAAUCAUUCCUGUGUCCAGAUAAGCUGGAAGUAGGACCCUCGAGGUCCAGGGUCUAGUUGCUUUUAGCACACAGCAUUUUUUUUUUUUUAACUUGAAACCAGUUUCUAGAGUUGAGUUCAGUUUCAAGCAACGAAUGGGUCUUGUGCACUGCGCUCUCCCCACCACACUGUGCCCGUCAUGGUGCUGCUGGUUCUCUGGGUCUCAUGCUCCUUCCUGCUUUCCUCGGCCUUGCUCUGUGCCUGGGGGGGUGACCUUUACUGCCAGUGUCCCCAGCCCCUUGCCCUCUGGCCUCCUGGCUAGGGCAGGCGCAGUGGAGAUGAGCCGGUCGAGGAGGAGCAGCCCCCAGCCCCCCGAGCUGGUUCCCUUGGGCCACAGCUUCUGUCUGGUGGCUCCUCUUCCACGCUGCCAGCCAGCGAUCACUCUCGCCACACUCACGCCAUCUUCUCCCCUGGCCCCUCUAGGGUGGUGAUGUGACGCCUGUCGCUGGGCCCAGUCCCUGGCAACCCCCAACCCUGCCACCUUGUGUCCUGCCCCCCACAUCUCAGAGCCGUCCUUCCCUGGGCCCUUCCCAGUUCAGCCCGUGGCUGCACCUGUUCUCUGGCCGACCCCGGGCUGGCACGAGCGGGACCCUGCCCCCGAGGGGCUCGCCGUCUCCUAGGCUUAUUGCCCCAGACAGUCGCCACUGUGUGCCGGGUCACAGCUCCCCCACCCAAGAGCAGCUCGACCACUAGCGCACAACUAGUACGCCACCUUAAUUCAGGUAAAAAAAGAAGCUUUUAUCACCAGCUAAAUAGAAAAUGCAUGUCCUUGCCCAAAAUAGAAGACAAGGGUAAAAACACAACAAUUUUGGUAAACUCUAGCCCAGGGUUGGUGACUGCGGUUAAGGGCAUAGUCUGCUUAGGUUGGAAUCCUGGUUCUCCCACUUCUCAACUAUAUGACUAUGAUGAGGGCUUCUCUGUGCCUCAGUUUCUCCAUUUGUGAACUGAAAAUCACGAUUCUAUCUACUUCAUAAAGCUACGGGAUUCGUGGAGGUAAUUCACGCGAGCAUCUGUAAAGCUCACAGAUGACCCUGGCAGGCUCACACCACGGGAAUUUAAGGCCCCAAGGUGUGACGGUGAUGAAGAUGGGCGGUGGUGGGGUUACCUGACCCGGGCUCUGACUCGGAGGAUUCUUAGCGAGGGGGUGAAGUCACGUCGGCCCCAGACUGAGGCUUGCUUCCUGCUGUAAAGGGGGUUGGAAAGAACUGAAAGCGAGGACUGUUUCACCUGUGGUUCGAUGCCGAUUCUCUGUGCACCAUCCGGAUUUACUGAUGCCUCGGGAACAUCUUACACUUUAGGAAACACGGGCAGGGAAUCAAAUAACUGUUCCGUCACAGCAAACAUAAGCAACAGGUCAGAGGCAGCACGGAGACGCGAGGCACAGCCUUGGGGGUGCGGGUCUGCGGGGGAAGCCGUUGACCAGGCCUAUGAGAGGCUGAGUCGGGGUUGCAGAGUGCAGGUGAGAGCGUCUCCGGGGAAGGGGGACGAGCCUGCCUGCAGCAGAUGCACGACCUCGCAAGGCUGUUCAGGAAAGGCCGUGCUCACAGAGGACUGGCGACUCCCUAACAAAAAGCGGCAGCAAUGGCUUGGGAAGAGCUGCCUAGGGAAGCGGGUCUCAACAGGUGGUUCCCGGAGCUGCAGCAUCAACAGGAGUUAGGAACCCGUUAGAAAUGCGCAUUCCGGGGAUCCCUGGAUGCUCGGUGGUUUGGCUCACCUUUGGCCCAAGGCCUGAUCCUGGAGUCCGGGAUUGAGUCUGGCGUCGGGCUCCCUGCAUGGAGCCUGCUUCUCCCUCGGCCUGUGUCUCUGCCUCUCUCUCUAUAUAUGUAUCAUGAAUAAAUAAAUAAAAUCUUAAAAAAAAUCACAUUCCCCAGGGUCCCCAGCCUUUGGGGUCAGGAACUCGGGGGACAGGGCCCUCCCAACCGACCCUGAGCCUUAUGCACGUAGAGCUUGGCCGCCGCGGGCCCGGAGGAAGGGGGGAGAGUAGAGGCCGUAACGGAGGAUGAGGUUUUGCGGUAAUGGGGGGCCCUUUCAGGCGGCAGGUGUUGCGCGGGCACGCGGCGCUCUGUGUCCUGCGACCCUCACAUCGGCCCCACAGCUGGAUACCCUGUAGUGGGGGUUUGUAAAGCAGCGCACGGGAGCUGGAGCUGGAGCUGGAGCUGGAGCUCGCUAACCGUUCCCUAGUGACACGGGUGCGACUACUGUCACCAGGGAAUGGAGUGUUGAGCUUUAUUAAUUUU
rnacentral:lncRNA from 1 species